rnacentral:sRNA from 1 species
UUUUAGCCCUGAUAGUAGCGGCAUCCUUUAUGUUUUUUCUUUAAAAACAUAAAGAUAAAGCGGAUAGCAGGAUUAGCU